AACUGCCGUUAAACCAAAUCUCUCUAGGCGAAAUUUUCAUGCCACAUGGCACGCUCCCGUUAGUUAAAAUCCUCGCUAUCCACGAUAUAGGACAUAUGGUGCCCAAUGGUUUAAUCAAUUUUCGUGAUAGCUUCCUUCAGUGAUUCGUGCGCCAACUGCGGCCUCAGUCCACUUCAUUAACGAGGUAGCAUCCCCCGUUCUGUUGUCACAACUCAACAGAAUACUCAGAGGACAUCAGAAAAGAAUUACAGGCCUUGCCUUCUCAAAUGUCUUAAAUGUUCUCGUGUCUUCUGGCGCUGACUCUCAGGUCAUGAAGGCAUCCUUUUCUGGCGGAAUAAAUCCUUCCAGAAAACUUCAUCUUUCGUGUCGACAAAUUAAUCUUAACCCAUUAAGUAUGAAAAAAGAAGCUAUGAUGUCCUUACAAUGGACAGAUUGGUGUGAUUCUGAUAUAAAUACACAAUAUAGAAUUUUCUUCUUUCAUUUGUGCAUCAAUGUUGUUGUCCCCUUUGAUUGUGUAUCAUCACUGCAGUUCUAAGAAAUUGUUAUGAAAUCCGCCUCCUGGAACCAUCGAACUUUCGCAGUUCAGAACCGGUGAAGCAAAUGAUGCUAUAAUACAUGUAAAAGCUCAACUACCUCCCAUCUGAAAUACUCCCUCUACCAAGAUUUGCGAAUUGGUAUAACUUGAAUACCAGUUUGAGUGAGAAUUACAUUAGGCAACAUCAUCAGAUGAGGGGUAAUUUUCCAAUGAAGUUGGAGUUGAGACUUCCCAGGUAAAGAUGACCCUCGAACUCAAAUGCUGAGGUAACGAACGAGAUGACUUUCCCGUCAGGAUCGUCAAGCUUCUUGAUUAUCUUGCCAUCAGCUCCCACAUGCAAAACACUCGCUUUUCCGUACACUCCAUUCACUUUCUUGAUCAAACUUGGGUAUGUUGCUAUCAAGUGCUUGGCUGCCUUGGAGGCGUGCACGAACUCCCACCCUUCAGAUGUCAACUGCACCAAAUUUGCAAAGAGCAUGGAUAGAGCAUCCGAAAUACAUGGUCCGAAAGAAGCCGAACCGCUCACAAUGUAAUGCAUGUAGUUUUGCCCAAAAUCAGGGGCACCAUUAUCUCCUUAAGAGCACUAAUCACUUUGGAUUUUAGAUUUUUAAUUAUUAUGUUGCGAAAAUCCUACGCAUAUACCUGCACUAGGGCAAUCCAAAAAGAUCCGUCCGGUGCAAGAUUGAUGUUUUCAGGUCCGCCAGGAAGAUUGUCAAUGAAAAUCUCCGUUUUCCCA